GCCGAAGACGGGCGUGGCGCCAGGGGGCGGGGCCUGCGGAGCCCUGGAGCGCGAGGACUCACUCCUAACGCCGAGAGUGGGCGGACCCGUCUCAACUAGGACCUCAGGAGCAGUGGCAGCCGGCCGAUACUGGUUUGUAGACUCUCGUCUUGGAAGAGGGCGCGCGACCGUCGAGGGCAACCCUUGCAUUUCCAAUGGCUGGAAGACUGCUUAGAAUCGUCUGUUUGGGCUCCAGCUCUGACGUUUGGAGUCUCCUUGUUUUGUGGCCGACUUGAUGUGGGUCUCCAGAGGGAGGCUGACAUGGUUUUGUUGCCGUAUUCCUCAAGCCCAGAAAGUUCCUGAUGCAUCGAAGGUGUUUUGAAAAUACUUGUAUCUGAGUAAAAGCUCUCCAAUCAGAUUCCAACUAGGCCCUGAGAGUUCCCAGAUGGGAGCUGUAGAAGAACUGGCAAGCAGGACUGGGAACACCCACCACUCCCAUCACUGCCGCAAAGAGUCAAGAUGGAGAAGGACGUCCAGGAAAGAAAAAGGAUGUGAUUCUCUGAGAACCCGAGGACUAAGUCAGGGUCACCUUCCCUUCUUCACCUCACCCAGGAGAGCACUGCCAAGGCCACCAACCUUAGGACAACUCCUCUUUGGCAGAAGAGGCUUUCGAUCACUAACUUGUGCUGCUUUCCCAGCUGCACGCGAACAAAUAGGUUUCAGACAUCUGAAUUGUUUUUUUAAACAGCUGGCCCCACCCAUUCAUUGGUACCAGGCGGGCCCUUGCAGAGGCUGAGUCCAGCCUUGAUGUGGCCGGGGUGUCCAGAAGGCUGGGCAACAGACUAUGCUGGGUGUACCCAGUUGCUGCCCAGCUGGGCCUGGUGGGGAGGCUUUGGGUGGUGUUGCCGGGCAACCUGGCUAAUUGGAGAGGCCACGGAUUGGGCUUCUGGGCCACAGAGACGAACAGCCUCCUUCAUCAUACUGCAGACCAUCAUUAUGCCUCAUUCCAGAGUCCUGCAGCAAUCUCUCUGUGGUUAUAGCCUGAAAGAGGGCUUUUUUAGCUACAGAAAUUAAGAACCAGCCUUUCCAAUUUAUGGGUUUGUGGUUGUGGUUGUUUUCUUUUCGCUACAUCUCCAAGAAUACACUUGAAAUAAAUAGGCAAAAGAUUUCAAAACGAAAUGGAAAGUACCAUCACAAAUCCCCUUUUCCAAAAGUGUUCCUUCUUCCUGAAGCAAAACACACUUGCCCUCAAUUGUGAGGGCACCUAAGGUAGGGAUGCUCUUCUUCCUGAGGUCUCUGCAUGCCUACUGUGUGUUAAAAGAUUCUUCUUUGGAAUCCCACAACUGUGGCUGUGGUUCAAGGUGGGGGGACCAAGACUCUGGUCAUGUACAAGACCUCUCAGUGGAAUAAUUUCUUUGUGUCUCUCCCAUUCAAAGACCAUCAUGAUACUGCCCCUUCCCAAUCCACAGAACUACUUUCACU